ACAGAAGCACAACCUAAAAGAGGUAGGUCAAUUUUUGAUACCUUGUCUUCUGCUGUUUUGUUUAUAAAUAGUUUGGCAUUCUUCAUCUUUAAAGUUUCAACUCUUGUAGUGACUGAAAUAUCUACUCUCUGCGGGAGACCUAGUUUCAUUUAUAUCAUCAUUUUUUUGUUGGAUAGGAAAAUGUUAGUAAUUAGUUAGGUUAGUAUUUUCUCCUUCACCGAGGUUUGAACCCGGAUCCUCCAACUCAUUAAGCCCUUGGCCCAAAAACCUGGGUUUGAACCUGGAUCCUCCAACUCUUUUAGCCCUUAGCCCAAAAACCUGGGUUUGAACCUGGAUCCUCCAACUCAUUUAACCUCUGGCCCCAAAAACCUGGGUUUGAACCUGGAUCCUCCAACUCAUUUAACUCUUGGCCCCAAAACCAGCUGAACUACUCAAAUCACCUAUUUAUAUCAUCAUCUUGUUCGUAAACUUGAGUCAACAUGCUCAAUCCUAUUUGCUGGAAGUUUUUUUUUUGCGUGGAUACUCAUCCAUUCUAGGAUUCAUCAACGUAAGACACCCCCUAGCUCAAAAACCAGUUGAGCUACCCAACUCACUCAUGUAUAUCAUCAUCGUGUUCAUAAAUUUGAGUCAACAUGCUCAAUCCUAUUUGCUGGAAGUUUUUUUGCAUGGAUAUUCUUCCAUUCUAAGAUUCAUCAACUUAAGGCACCAUUAUACUAUCCCAUUAUUUUCUACACCUUGAAAAUAUUGGUCUAAUCUCUAUGAAUCACAUACACCUCUAGGACUAAGCGUGUCUUGGUGUCCGACACUCAUAUGACACUACACGUGUCGGAAAAUUUAAGAAAUGUCCUAUUUUUCUCUCUCUUUCCUUUGCUUCGACACUCUAUGGAUUGGUUUCUGACACCCAUAUGAAACUUAUACUGCACAUCUCAGACAACUUAGACAAGUAUCCAAUUUUUUUUCUUUGCUUCAAAGCAACUUAGAUAUUCUUUUGACAUAUCUUAGACACAUGUGCUCGGAUUAAAGAUGUGUCAAAAUAAUGCUGAUAAAUGAAGGGUUAAGGAUAUUAAAUUUGAUUACAAUAUUUUUAGCUUUUUCGAUAAUAGAUGAAUAAAUAAAAGUCAAAUACGAAUCUGGUCUAAUAAUUAUUUUAAUGAAAUAAAUUGCUCAAUUUAGAUGCACAUGUAUAUAUUUUGAUUUUCAAUUUAAACAUUUUAUGAAUAAUAUCAAUAUUUUAUUUAAUUAUAAUAAAACAUAUAGGCGUAGCGUGUCAGUGUCGCUAUGUCCGUGUCAGUGUCUGCGGUUCAUAGGUCAAAUGUCCUUGUUCCUUUUUUCUCGAACUAAAAUUUGCAUAAUACAGAGAGAAAGAAAAAUUUAAUUCAUGUAUGUUUAGUAGAUUCCAGUCUGAGAUGCUUAUGAUACUUCCAUCUUAUUUUAUGUUUUGGCUCUUUGAAAUUGGAGCUGGAUCUGUGACAUGUCUGGGCGCUUGAUUGACUUGCUUGAAUGUUGUUUCUUGGUCGGGUUUUUCCUGGUAAUGGGAGUUUUAUAUAGAAGC
rnacentral:lncRNA from 1 species